rnacentral:rRNA from 1 species
UACGUAGGGCGCGAGCGUUGUCCGGAUUUAUUGGGCGUAAAGAGCUCGUAGGCGGCUUGUCGCGUCGGAUGUGAAAGCCCGGGGCUUAACCCCGGGUCUGCAUUCGAUACGGGCAGGCUAGAGUGUGGUAGGGGAGAUCGGAAUUCCUGGUGUAGCGGUGAAAUGCGCAGAUAUCAGGAGGAACACCGGUGGCGAAGGCGGAUCUCUGGGCCAUUACUGACGCUGAGGAGCGAAAGCGUGGGGAGCGAACAGG